AUUGAACGCUGGCGGCAUGCCUUACACAUGCAAGUCGAACGGUAACAGGUCUUCGGAUGCUGACGAGUGGCGAACGGGUGAGUAAUACAUCGGAACGUGCCUAGUAGUGGGGGAUAACUACUCGAAAGAGUGGCUAAUACCGCAUGAGAUCUACGGAUGAAAGCAGGGGAUCGCAAGACCUUGUGCUACUAGAGCGGCCGAUGGCAGAUUAGGUAGUUGGUGGGAUAAAAGCUUACCGAGCCGACGAUCUGUAGCUGGUCUGAGAGGACGAUCAGCCACACUGGGACUGAGACACGGCCCAGACUCCUACGGGAGGCAGCAGUGGGGAAUUUUGGACAAUGGGCACAAGCCUGACCCAGCAAUGCCGCGUGCAGGAUGAAGGCCUUCGGGUUGUAAACUGCUUUUGUACGGAACGAAAAGCCCUGGGUUAAUACCCUGGGGUCAUGACGGUACCGUAAGAAUAAGCACCGGCUAACUACGUGCCAGCAGCCGCCGUAA
rnacentral:rRNA from 1 species